rnacentral:rRNA from 1 species
GGCGUGACGACGAGGCACUACGGUGCUGAAGCAACAAAUGCCCUGCUUCCAGGAAAAGCCUCUAAGCAUCAGGUAACAUCAAAUCGUACCCCAAACCGACACAGGUGGUCAGGUAGAGAAUACCAAGGCGCUUGAGAGAACUCGGGUGAAGGAACUAGGCAAAAUGGUGCCGUAACUUCGGGAGAAGGCACGCUGACACGUAGGUGAAGUGAUUUACUCAUGGAGCUGAAGUCAGUCGAAGAUACCAGCUGGCUGCAACUGUUUAUUAAAAACACAGCACUGUGCAAACACGAAAGUGGACGUAUACGGUGUGACGCCUGCCCGGUGCCGGAA